ensembl:miRNA
UACCUGAAGAGAGGUUUUCCAGGUUUCUGUUUCUUUAAUGAGGAUGAAACACACCUGGUUAACCUCUUUUCCAGUAUC